rnacentral:misc_RNA from 1 species
AACCUAGCACACCUGCGGUGUGUACCUGCGGAGGGAUCAUUACCGAGUUUACAACUCCCAAACCCCUGUGAACAUACCUAUACGUUGCCUCGGCGGAUCAGCCCGCGCCCUGUAAAAAGGGACGGCCCGCCCGAGGACCCCUAAACUCUGUUUUUAGUGGAACUUCUGAGUAAAACAAACAAAUAAAUCAAAACUUUCAACAAUGGAUCU